rnacentral:misc_RNA from 1 species
GAACGCACCUUGCGCUCCUUGGUAUUCCGAGGAGCAUGCCUGUUUGAGUGUCAUUUCAACCCUCAAGCCCCCGGGCUUGGUGUUGGGGAUCGGCGAGCCUCCGCGCCCGCCGUCCCCUAAAUCUAGUGGCGGUCUCGCUGUAGCUUCCUCUGCGUAGUAGCACACCUCGCACUGGGAAACAGCGCGGCCACGCCGUUAAACCCCCAACUUCUGAACGUUUGACCUCGGAUCAGGUAGGAAUACCCGCUGAACUUAAG